UACGUAGGUCCCGAGCGUUGUCCGGAUUUAUUGGGCGUAAAGCGAGCGCAGGUGGUUUAAUAAGUCUGAUGUAAAAGGCAGUGGCUCAACCAUUGUGUGCAUUGGAAACUGUUAGACUUGAGUGCAGUAGAGGAGAGUGGAAUUCCAUGUGUAGCGGUGAAAUGCGUAGAUAUAUGGAGGAACCCCAGUGGCGAAAGCGGCUCUCUGGACUGUAACUGACACUGAGGCUCGAAAGCGUGGGUAGCAAACAGG
rnacentral:rRNA from 1 species